ACUUUGUCACGCCCUGUUCACUGUAGUUGACAGUUCACUGCUCUCAUCAGGCCUAGAUGUACCACAAGACAUCUCACUGAAUCAUCUGACUUCCAGAUUCAUUCUUCCUCCUGCUGCUGUGCAUAUGCAACCUUACUUUCUCAUUAUAAUUAGGGUCAGCUAUCCCCAUGAAUAUAGUAGCUAUUUUAGUUGCCCUCUUGUACACAUCAUGAGUAUCCAUAGUUACCAUGCAGUGGUCACAGCUUUGAGUUCAUGAUACUUACUAAUCCCUGUUAGAAGCAGAACUCUCCCGUAUCCCAAGAAUAAGAAUAUCUAAUUCAGCAGAGCCAAAGUUGCAAAACCCAGAAGCAUACAUGCUGCAGAUAGGUUACUACGGGGGCUACUCUUACUCCUACCUUUUGGUCCUUAGACCCACAUAUUCCACCUACUGGAGACACCAUGUCAUGUAACAUCAUGUAUCAAUGGUGUGCCAUGCAUUGAUUCAGUGAAUAUACUGCAACUUGGAAUAUUGAACCCCCAAAAAACAGGAUCCUGUCUCCAAACUACUACCUAAGCAGACACUUUAAGAGGCCACUUCAUUAUUAGAUCAGGUUGAUUUCUUCCAAGUGAUGUGACAUUUAGUAAGAACGGCAGAUCUUAAGAUCACGUGCCUGGUGUUUCAUUUCCCUCAUUUCCUUGAUUUCAGGCAAGAUCAUGAAUCACCCCACAUUGCUAAUUCAGCAUUCUUAAAGAUCUGGAAUGGUAGGGCAGGCAGAGACACCAUAAUCAGAGAAAGCAAACCCAUAGAAUGAAUCACUGUUCCCCCAAGGAUGGAAGGGGUCUGAUGUUGUCAGUUUGCUGUCAAACACCUGGUUUGUCCUGAAGGGGUCAGUAUCUGCCUCUGCUGCUGGAAGAUCAUGUAAUCAGUGGUAGGUAGCCUUGGGGAGAAAAAGCCAUGAUGUUGAGUGUGUGCAGCAUCUCCAUCUCUGCCACAUGGCCACUCCACUCAUGGGCCUAUUGUGCAUGUUGUAAGUGACUAAAGAGAGGCUAAAGAACUUCAACUGACCAGUCAUCUGGUACAUUGGCUUACCCUCUGGUAGAUGUAGACAAGGAUCUGCAUGCUCUGGAUACAUUCUUAUGAAUCUUCUAACAUUUCCCAGGCUUCUUGUUUCUAAUCUUUCAGACUGUCUCCUUCCAGGCCUCUAAAGAGCAGGAAAAGUCACCUUCCAUUGCCUGGAAAUCAGUCUAUAUUCUAACCUCAGGCUACCCUCCUCUCAAGAUGGCUGCUUGCCUCUCUGUCCUGUGGGAGGAUUUCUCUUCACCACAGUCCUAUAAGAUGACUGGGUGGGUCUACGGUGAAGCUGCAGUCUUUUUUUUUUUUUUUUUUUUUUUUUUUUUUUUUUUUGUGCUCACCAACAUACUGAGCUAACCCAUCCAUGAAUCAGGCUUGAGGUUUUUUUUCAUCAUUCAUCAGCUGGCUUCAAGCAUCUCCAUGAAGCCCUAGGGGUGAACUCAGGGAGAGGCACCAGUGUUAACAGUGACAAGAAAAAUGGGAAUUUGAGCCAUCUGUUCAUGGAACUUUCUUAAUCCCUCUAGACCUGUUUAGGCCAAAUUCUGAAUAUAGCAUUUCAAUCCAUGGAUUGUUGUCCACUCUAUGAUUCAGUGAAUUCAAAAAUACCCAGGUCAUCAUGAGAAGCUGAAGCCAUAGAGUUGUCUGAUGUCAUAUAAUUAGAUAUUCCUUCUCUAUUCUGACCCAGCAAUAGGCCAGAAGCUACUUUUCAAAUGGGAAGGAUAUUUUUGCUGUGGAAGGUAAGGCCUUCCUCCAGAACCUUAAAGACUUUCAUUGUGAGGCUGUUAGUAUAACCUACCACACACUCCACAGUAAUAUUAUAUUUCACUUUCUCACUAAAUUUUCUGAAUCAUAUUCCCAAGAGUCAAGGAGCUCACAUGACAGCCUGGACCUGCUGCAGGCAUUGGUAGUUAUGAAUAGCCACCCUGGUAUAUGAAUGACAUUCAGAAAUACUCCUAUUGUCCAAUCUACUAACUUAUCUAGUAAUGACAGUCCCGGGCUUGUGGUCAUAUCACCCUAUGAGAAUAUCUGAGUGAGGCCCAGAUUCCUGAUUGUCUGCAAACAGUGGCAGUUUUAAACCACUAAAUAUUGGGCCGGUUUGUUACAGAGCAAUAGCUAAUUGAUACAAGUAAUAUGUCUACAAAUACAGUAGUUUGAUUUUUACAAGAAAUGGUGACAUAUUUGAAAGUCAAGUUCAACCGGUAUUAACGGACCUUGGAAAAAAGAUAAUGAGACCACAGUUCUUGGUGUCAGCUUCUAAUAAUUAAUUACCAAGCACUAGCUCCAUAGAGGCUUGUAGAGAACAUGCAGGUGGUGCCAUUUCAUCUGGUCAUGUAGCUUUUCUGUUACUCAGAUUGUUUACAGAAAUAGCUGCCUAACAAAGUUAACUUCUAGGAAGGAUGCCAGGUUACACGGAAUCAUACCAGAGUCUUAGAAUCACAUUGGGCUUUCACCCAAAGUUUUUGCAACAUUAGGUGGAGGCAAUAUAAUUUGGCUUGAAAAGUUACAAGGGAAAAAAAUGUCAGAAAAUGCUCAUGGAACAGGGUGUUCAGAGUCUUCAAGAUAGGAUCUUUCUUGGCCUCCUGAAAAUCAGAGAAAAUUGUAUAUCUGUGAUUUUUUUUUUUUUUUAAUAGAACGACCCAACAGAAUCCAGGGUUGUCACAGAUCAUUAUUAGGCCAACAACUGUAGAAGUUCUAACCCCAAAAUUGAGCUGUAAGACAUAGGAGCAGAUAGAGCUACAGUUGGAAAAUCUAAACAUAGUCUAAAAGUUUUGGCGCUUCAAGAGCUUCUGGGGGAAAGAAAAGAAAUUUGAUUUCUGUGUUGCUGAUGGAAAAGCUCAAAAAUUACCUGAGAAAAUUGUAUUUGACAUAUUUUUAUUGCAAAUGGUAUUUUGCUAUUUGUUUCUAAAAGUUGAAAAUGACCUUGCACGUUAAAAAUCAUCAGUUUAGAAAAAAUAUGAAGUCUGUUUGCAUUUGGAAUUAAGUAUUCCAAUAAUUUCUUAAAUUUAAAAACUACACAUAGAAAGUGUUAUUAUUAUUUUGGAGAGUUUUCGUAGGAUAUUCCAGGCCAAUGAUACUUAUCUGGCUCUUACCUGAAAGUGGCAUAUGUCACGUCUGUCUUCAUUUCAUGGGACUAAGGAAGUCACAGAGCCAACAAAGCACAAAUGCAUAAUCCCUCCAUAUGUACAGUGACGACAGGAAGAAACACUAGUUGGCAUGGUAAAGAAUUGUAGACCCUACCACAGUCCCUACACAACUAAAUAUUCAGAUCACCUGCUCAAUCUAAAUAAAGGUUUGCCAUAGUUGUUGUUGCUGUUGUUUAAAUGAGGCAAACUUUGAUAAAGCCAUUCCAGAGAUAAAAGCACAUUUAACAUAAUUUAUUGAGUACUUGUAAUUGAUGGUAACAUAAUGACUGAUUUAAAAGAACCAUUCAGCUCCUUUGAUAA
rnacentral:lncRNA from 1 species